rnacentral:lncRNA from 1 species
GCCAAUAUAGGCUGAAGUUAUACCAAAAACAACUUAGCUACAAAGGUACACCUCAAAAAUGAGGUUAGUAAACACUUAGUAAUGAUUCAGUACUAAACAUCAAGGUUUAUCACAUGACAUUGGCAGAUUUCAUACCAGAUCUUACUUGUUGUAACAAAUAUACAAAUAUACUCAGAGCAACCUUCUAGGAGCGUUAGUGCAUUUCAUAAAACAAUGCUAUAAAAGGGGGCAUCGACCAUACAACAUACUUGUUGAUCCUCAACUUUCACUUCUAUCUCCAAGUAUAUUGGAAUUCCAAAGAGCAGUCUUAGGGCGCCGUGCCCUGUCCAGCACCAUGGUCCAGUGCUCAAAUCUAAACCAUAAAGCAGGUUACAGUGAUAUACAGGGAAAGAAUAUACAUAAGUGAACCCCUAACAAAGCCCUAGAUUACUUAGGUAUCAUCUUCACACACCCAUGAGACUUCAGGUUGUAGCCUUAAAGAUAAGUGUAGACAAACCCUGUCAAUAAUAAUACAUGAGCUGCAAGAGUAGAGAACAUUUGUUGUAUACGAAGCCACACCAUUCUCUGCCAUAAAAGUAGGGAGACAGAGCACUAAAACAAGAAAGGGUAAAUGUUUCACUGAUGGAUGAACUUUGCAAAUAACACUCAAAAGGGGAUGAACAGCAAUGGGAAAUUUUCCUCUAAGACUGCCGCAAAUCAUUAUGAAUCAUGGGCAUGUGUCAUGCACACACACAUGAUGUAUUUUUAUUAUUACCAUGCACUACUGCCUACUCCUCUAUAUAUCAUUAAGAACAUGUCACUAAAUCCUUGAUGGUUGAAACCAAGAUAAAGUUAAAGGUUCAAAUUUUACUAACCUAAGGCGGUAAUUCAAGCAGCUUGUUGAAGCCUUUCCAAAAAAAGCCUCUAAAAAAUAAUCAGCCAAACUAUUGUACUAAACAUAAGAACUUAUUCCAGAGAUAUGUUAACACAUUAUGAAAGAUCAUACCUCCACAAAGCAAAUCAGGAAUGGCAGAUCCAUGGAUGUCCAUCCCCA